CUCCAGUUUCUAGGGGCUCUGUCCUCUAGGGCCUUAGUCCUCUAUCCCAUUGCCCACUGUGCAGGAAUGGCGUAGCCAUCUAAUAAGCCUUUCUCUUCUUGGCUGCCAACCUUGUGAUGUUUAUUGUUCAACAGUGGUUGUGCCCUGUGUUCUUUAGUAGGAGGAGAGGUACCAUAUCUACUCUCCAUCCAAGUCACCACCUCUCUCCAAGGGUCAGUGAGGUACCCAGAAGACUCUUUAGACAAAUGCAGGGCUGAUGAGCCUUGGUCUUCAUGUUUUAAAAAUAAGCCUUAAAACAAUGGUACCCUGUUCUGCUGUGAUAAUGUCCUUCCUCCAUCCAUAGGAAAGAUACAGACUCAGCAUAAAGGUGUCCUCCAAGACAGGGCAGUGAUGGAUCUUUAUUAGUAUUGUGGCUUGCCCUGACGCCGUCUAUGACAGGAAUGUCUCUUCUCUUGACCUACCAUCACCGUUCUUACAUAAAAUGCACCGCCGCCGCCACCACCACCACCACCACCACCACCCGGCCUUCAUCAGUGCUGUGCCUUGUGACUGGCAACUCAGACUUCCUGACCCUCUGUCGGUCAGCACUGGGCAGAAGAAUGGAUCUUCUUGACAAAACGCAUUUCCUGUCUGGAAAGCUGGCCACUUCUAGUUUCCCACAUGGUACCAUCUGGCUCUUAGAAGAAGAUGCCGGCUUUAAGGAAGCCUUGCUAUUUAGACAGAUGCAGCAUUUGUAUCUAUUGGAGAACUUUCCAUCCCCCAAUGUUUU
rnacentral:lncRNA from 1 species